rnacentral:rRNA from 1 species
UACGGAGGGGGCUAGCGUUGUUCGGAAUUACUGGGCGUAAAGCGCACGUAGGCGGACUCUUAAGUCGGUGGUGAAAUCCUGGAGCUCAACUCCAGAACUGCCUUCGAUACUGAGAGUCUCGAGUCCGAGAGAGGUGAGUGGAACUGCGAGUGUAGAGGUGAAAUUCGUAGAUAUUCGCAAGAACACCAGUGGCGAAGGCGGCUCACUGGCUCGGUACUGACGCUGAGGUGCGAAAGCGUGGGGAGCAAACAGG